UGCCUUUUGAUUUUUUAUAAAAGGUCCAUCCUGCCCAGUGACCUAAGGGUUUAACGGCCGCGGUACCCUGACCGUGCUAAGGUAGCGUGAUAAUUCGCCCUUUAAUUGUGGGCUCGUAUGAACGGAUAAACGAAAAACUUACUGUCUCAAUUUUACCUUUAAAAAUUGGCCUUCAGGUGAAGAGACCUGAAUAAAAAUAGAGGACAAGAAGACCCCGUAGAGCUUUAGUGCUUUAUCUAUAUACCCCUUAAUUUAUUUACUUAAAAUAAAACUAUCUUUUUUAUACGCUUUGCUGGGGCGGCAGAGGAAAACUAAUCUUCCAUCUCAACCUUUAUUGCUCUUUUCGGUUUCAAACCUUAAAUCUAAUGAUCCUUUUAAGAACAAAGAAAAUAGCUACCUCGGGGAUAACAGAUUAAUCCUUCUUGAGAGCCCGCAUUGACAGAAGGGAUUGACACCUCGAUGUUGGCUUAGGAUACCCAAUGGGUUUGCAGCAGCCCAUAAUGGUAGGUUUGUUCAACCUUUAAAAUCCU
rnacentral:rRNA from 1 species